GACGAACGCUGGCGGCGUGCUUAACACAUGCAAGUCGAGCGAGAAAGCUCCUUCGGGAGCGAGUACAGCGGCGAACGGGUGAGUAACACGUGGGCAACCUGCCCUCAGGAGCGGGACAACCCGAGGAAACUCGGGCUAAUACCGCAUAAUCCGUCGUGUCUCAAGGCGCGACGGCAAAUGGUAGCUUCGGCCUCCGCCUGAGGAUGGGCCCGCGGCGCAUUAGCUUGNGGUGGGAAUGGCUCACCAAGGCGACGAUGCGUAGCUGGUCUGAGAGGACGAUCAGCCACACUGGGACUGAGACACGGCCCAGACUCCUACGGGAGGCAGCAGUGGGGAAUCUUGCGCAAUGGGCGAAAGCCUGACGCAGCAACGCCGCGU
rnacentral:rRNA from 1 species